rnacentral:rRNA from 1 species
UACGUAGGGGGCAAGCGUUGUCCGGAAUCAUUGGGCGUAAAGAGCGUGUAGGCGGCUCGAUAAGUCUGCUGUGAAAGUCCAGGGCUCAACCCUGGAAGGCCGGUGGAAACUGUCGGGCUAGAGUCCGGAAGAGGCGAGUGGAAUUCCCGGUGUAGCGGUGAAAUGCGCAGAUAUAGGGAGGAACACCAAUGGCGAAGGCAGCUCGCUGGGACGGUACUGACGCUGAGACGCGAAAGCGUGGGGAGCAAACAGG